CUCAUGGCUCUACUACUGGGAGACGUGGGCGUAAGACUCCUCGAGAGUCAGAUACUCUCGAGGAGCGAGAAAGGAAGCGGCUGCGAGAUAUCUUUGCAGAACCAUCUGACGAGGAUUCUUUUGAGGGGUUUACUGAGAGAAUGGAGGAAGAGCUGGUUAGCUCGGAAGAGGAUGACAUGGAAUGGACUCGUGUAAGGGAGGAUUUGGGUGCCACUGGCAAUGAUAGUAUGGAAGGCGAUUGGGGACCUUCAGGAUUAGACCCGUGGACAAGCUGGAGGGAUGGGACGGGAUCCACAGCUGGGGAUGCUGUGGGGCGUAGUCAAAGGUGUUCCAGUUCUGAUGAGGAAAGUGAUGAGGAAACGCCCGGGCUAAGGAGAACAGCUGAUAGCGAUGAGGACUUGUAACUGGCAUAAAAUGGGGUUUGGGAGCAAUAGCAAAUUGCGUUGGGCAAGGUAAUCUGGACGAACGCUUGGGAUCUGUGUGGGAAGUUUUCCUGAAGACGGGUGUGAUUCGUUUGCUGACUACCUUUGACCUUCCGUCGUCUUCUUGACGGACGCCAUCUGCUUACUCUGGACUUACGGACUGACUGACUACGGCCUCGGAUUCUCCUACCUGUGUCUAUCGUUGGAACUGGUGAACUACAAACGUCUGCAUCUGCCUUACGACCUUCGGAACGGAUUGGGACUUCGCUGACUGCUUCUGCCCUCGUCUGCUGUGUUUGUAUCGGGAAAUUGCCUGCUGUGUGGAGGAGUAACCUCUAAGUUACUCAAACAUAGCUCUUGGCAGCAGAGAAGCAUCUGCUGCCAAUUAGUUGCAUUCCUUUGAACCUUUUGUUCACCAGCUUCUGUUUGUUUAUUCCCAGGCUGAAGCAAGCUGUUUUGAUUUAACCCGGAUUAAACUCCGGUUUAAUCCGGUUUAUCUUUUGAACGUUUUUCUUGUCUCUUUUUACUUUUAAGGCCAGUGUUUGCCUAGCCCUUGUCUUUUACGGGCAUUUUUGGUUCUGUAACUCCAAUAAACUUUGUUAUCUUUUA